GAAAUAGGUAAAUCAAGAAUAAGCUUCUAACUUAAUUCUUUAGCAUUGUAAUAUGUUACUAUUUCU
rnacentral:tRNA from 1 species